UGGGGAAUAUUAGUAAUGGGCGAAAGCCUGAACUAGCAACGCCGCGUGUGCGAAGAAGGCCUUCGGGUUGUAAAGCACUUUUUGAGAGGAUGAGGAAGGACGGUACUCUCAGAAUAAGUCUCGGCUAACUACGUGCCAGCAGCCGCGGUAACACGUAGGAGGCGAACGUUAUCCGGAUUUACUGGGCGUAAAGCGCGUGUAGGUGGUUUGGUAAGUAGGGCGUGAAAGCUCCUGGCUCAACUGGGAGAGGCCGUUCUGUACUGCCGAACUAGAGGAUGGUAGAGGGAGGUGGAAUUCCGGGUGUAGCGGUGGAAUGCGCAGAUAUCCGGAGGAACACCAGUGGCGAAAGCGGCCUCCUGGACCAUUCCUGACACUCAGACGCGAAAGCUAGGGUAGCAAACGGGAUUAGAGACCCCGGUAGUCCUAGCCCUAAACGAUGUAGACUUGGCGUCGGUGGUUUAAAACGCCAUCGGUGUCGAAGCUAACGCGAUAAGUCUACCGCCUGGGGACUACGGCCGCAAGGUUAAAACUCAAAGGAAUUGACGGGGUCAUAGCUGUUUCCUG
rnacentral:rRNA from 1 species